AUUGAACGCUGGCGGCAGGCUUAACACAUGCAAGUCGAGCGGGGGAGGUUGCUUCGGUAACUGACCUAGCGGCGGACGGGUGAGUAAUGCUUAGGAAUCUGCCUAUUAGUGGGGGACAACAUCUCGAAAGGGAUGCUAAUACCGCAUACGUCCUACGGGAGAAAGCAGGGGACCUUCGGGCCUUGCGCUAAUAGAUGAGCCUAAGUCGGAUUAGCUAGUUGGUGGGGUAAAGGCCUACCAAGGCGACGAUCUGUAGCGGGUCUGAGAGGAUGAUCCGCCACACUGGGACUGAGACACGGCCCAGACUCCUACGGGAGGUAGCAGUGGGGAAUAUUGGACAAUGGGGGGAACCCUGAUCCAGCCAUGCCGCGUGUGUGAAGGAGGCCUUAUGGUUGUAAAGCACUUUAAGCGAGGAGGAGGCUACUUUAGUUAAUACCUAGAGAUAGUGGACGUUACUCGCAGAAUAAGCACCGGCUAACUCUGUGCCAGCAGCCGCAGUAACAC
rnacentral:rRNA from 1 species